UACGUAGGGUGCAAGCGUUGUCCGGAAUUAUUGGGCGUAAAGAGCUCGUAGGCGGUUUGUCGCGUCUGCCGUGAAAGUCCGGGGCUCAACUCCGGAUCUGCGGUGGGUACGGGCAGACUAGAGUGAUGUAGGGGAGACUGGAAUUCCUGGUGUAGCGGUGAAAUGCGCAGAUAUCAGGAGGAACACCGAUGGCGAAGGCAGGUCUCUGGGCAUUACCUGACGCUGAGGAGCGAAAGCAUGGGGAGCGAACAGG
rnacentral:rRNA from 1 species